CAGAGAUCAUGCCCCUCGGGGUAGACCUCCCACCCUGUGUUAUAUACUCUUGUUGCUUUGGCAGGCCGCCCUCGGGCUCCCGGCGCAGGCCGGGAUGCGCCUGCCAGAGGCCCCGUAACAUCUGUCGUGUACGUGUCGUCUGAGCAAUAUCAAAAAGUUA
rnacentral:misc_RNA from 1 species